GUGAGAUUUAUGUGUUUCUAUGAUACAUCUUAUCUAUUUUUAUGAACAAGCACAAAAGAACUAAUAUCAUAAUUUAAACUCCAAUUAAGAUUAUUGAUAUUAUUUCAUUUUGAGCGUAUCAUUAAAUCUACUUACUAUUUAGAGACGAUUGUUAGGUGUCUAAUACCUUCCUCAAAUGUACAAGGAUCCUGAAUCUGGAUCGCUAGAUUAGAAGUGAUAAAUAUUUUCUUUUUUAUAAAAUUUUCAAAAUAAAUGAUUUUCUUUGGUUGACUCGGUGUGAAUCAAAGACUCCAAAAACCUCUUCCCUUCCGUUGAUUUCAAUCCCCAAAAAGAUUCUAGAAAUCAAUCCCAUUUUCUCCAUUUCUUCCUGUUGGGAUCGUAAGUCCAGUCUACUGGAAAUUCAAGGACUUGCCCUAUGUUCUUCUUGUAUUUCUUGAUAAU
rnacentral:misc_RNA from 1 species